ACCAUGUUGGCCAGGCCGGUCUCCAAUCCUGACCUCAAGUGAUCUGCCCGCCUCAAUUUUAGGAAAUUAAAAACUUAUGAUGUUUUGGUAAUAAUUCUAAAACACUGACAAUUACAUUGGGUUCCCUAGAGGCAGGUCCAGAUGUGAGGAGUCAUGCAUAAGUGAUUUAUUAAGGAGGUACUCCCAAAAUAAACUAGUACGGGAGUGAGGAAGCAAGACAAAGAAAGGGAGGAAGCCAAGCAAGGGUGCAACCUCAAGGCAAGUUCUUUGGAGAGUAAGUUUAACCUUAUCCCACACUAUCUCUGGAAAUAGUUACACUUCCCACUGCAAGAGAACUGGGCUUUCACACCCCUGGACUCAUCCGUUACCCUCUAAGCAGAGACUGGGGGUUUCUGGUGGUGGAUGUAUUAAAUCAAGUUUAGCCUAAAGCUGCUUUCUUACGUAUUUUAAGUUCAUCCUAAAGGUUUCUCUGUACAUAGUGAGCUAUAACGUAAAUGGAGGUAUAAACAG
rnacentral:lncRNA from 1 species